rnacentral:tRNA from 1 species
ACAUUGGUGGUUCAAGGUAGAGUUCUCACCUUCCAUGUGGGAGACCCGGGUUUCGAUUCCCAUUCAAUGUG